GGGGCAUGCGAUUGCUAUACAUGCAGUCGACGCGUUGGCCCAAUUGAUUGAUGGUGCUUGCACCUGAUUGAUUUUGGUCGCCAACGAGUGGCGGACGGGUGAGUAACACGUAGGUAACCUGCCCAGAAGCGGGGGACAACAUUUGGAAACAGAUGCUAAUACCGCAUAACAGCGUUGUUCGCAUGAACAACGCUUAAAAGAUGGCUUCUCGCUAUCACUUCUGGAUGGACCUGCGGUGCAUUAGCUUGUUGGUGGGGUAACGGCCUACCAAGGCGAUGAUGCAUAGCCGAGUUGAGAGACUGAUCGGCCACAAUGGGACUGAGACACGGCCCAUACUCCUACGGGAGGCAGCAGUAGGGAAUCUUCCACAAUGGGCGCAAGCCUGAUGGAGCAACACCGCGUGAGUGAAGAAGGGUUUCGGCUCGUAAAGCUCUGUUGUUAAAGAAGAACACGUAUGAGAGUAACUGUUCAUACGUUGACGGUAUUUAACCAGAAAGUCACGGCUAACUACGUGCCAGCAGCCGCGGUAAUACGUAGGUGGCAAGCGUUAUCCGGAUUUAUUGGGCGUAAAGAGAGUGCAGGCGGUUUUCUAAGUCUGAUGUGAAAGCCUUCGGCUUAACCGGAGAAGUGCAUCGGAAACUGGAUAACUUGAGUGCAGAAGAGGGUAGUGGAACUCCAUGUGUAGCGGUGGAAUGCGUAGAUAUAUGGAAGAACACCAGUGGCGAAGGCGGCUACCUGGUCUGCAACUGACGCUGAGACUCGAAAGCAUGGGUAGCGAACAGGAUUAGAUACCCUGGUAGUCCAUGCCGUAAACGAUGAGUGCUAGGUGUUGGAGGGUUUCCGCCCUUCAGUGCCGGAGCUAACGCAUUAAGCACUCCGCCUGGGGAGUACGACCGCAAGGUUGAAACUCAAAGGAAUUGACGGGGGCCCGCACAAGCGGUGGAGCAUGUGGUUUAAUUCGAAGCUACGCGAAGAACCUUACCAGGUCUUGACAUCUUGCGCCAACCCUAAAAAAUAGGGCGUUUUCUUCGGGACCCAAUGACAGGUGGUGGCAUGGUCGUCGUCAGCUCGUGUCGUGAGAAUUGUUGGUAGUCCCGCACGAGCGCAACCUUGUACUAGUUGCAGCAUAGUGGCACUCUAAUGGAACUGCGUACAAACCGAGAAGUGUACGACGCUCGAUCAUCUAUGCCCAUUAUGAACUGGGGCUACAC
rnacentral:rRNA from 1 species